rnacentral:tRNA from 1 species
UAACUUAAUAGUUUAUAUAAAACCUUAAUUUGUGAAAUUAAAAAACAUAGUAUAUGAUAAAUUU